rnacentral:rRNA from 1 species
GACGAACGCUGGCGGCGUGCUUAACACAUGCAAGUCGAACGGUAAGGCCCUUCGGGGUACACGAGUGGCGAACGGGUGAGUAACACGUGGGUGAUCUGCCCUGCACUUCGGGAUAAGCCUGGGAAACUGGGUCUAAUACCGGAUAGGACCACUGCCUGCAUGGGUGGAGGUGUAAAGAUUUUGCGGUGUGGGAUGGGCCCGCGGCCUCUCAGCUUGUUGGUGGUGUGAUGGCCUACCAAGGCGACGACGGGUAGCCGGCCUGCGAGGGGGAACGGCCAAAAUGGGAAUGAGAUACGGUCCAGACUCCUACGGGAGGCAGGAGUGGGGAAUAUUGCACAAUGGGCGAAAGCCUGAUGCAGCGACGCCGCGUGAGGGAUGACGGCCUUCGGGUUGUAAACCUCUUUCAGCACCGACGAAGCGCAAGUGACGGUAGGUGCAGAAGAAGGACCGGCCAACUACGUGCCAGCCGCCGCAGUAA